UGAGUAACCUGCCCUUAACUCUAGGAUAAGCCUGGGAAACUGGGUCUAAUACCGGAUAUGACUCCUCAUCGCAUGGUGGGGGGUGGAAAGCUUUUUGUGGUUUUGGAUGGACUCGCGGCCUAUCAGCUUGUUGGUGAGGUAAUGGCUCACCAAGGCGACGACGGGUAGCCGGCCUGAGAGGGUGACCCGGCCACACUGGGACUGAGACACGGCCCAGACCUCCGUACGGGAGGCAG
rnacentral:rRNA from 1 species